rfam:Oryctolagus cuniculus Xist gene, promoter region and exon 1.
AAAUCAAAAUCCGACCCCAGCAUUAGCCACGGGGUAGAUGUUCCUCCUGAGAAAGGCAGGAUUUCCCUU